rnacentral:rRNA from 1 species
AGAAUCAACGCUGGCGGCGUGCCUCAGACAUGCAAGUCGAACGCGAAAGUUUCCUUCGGGAAGCGAGUAGAGUGGCGCACGGGUGAGUAACACGUAGGUAAUCUACCUUUGGGUGGGGAAUAACAGCCGGAAACGGCUGCUAAUACCGCAUAAUGCAGCGGCUCGACAUCGAGACAGUUGUUAAAGCGGGGGCUUCGCAAGAACCUCGCGCCUAAAGAGGAGCCUGCGGCGGAUUAGCUAGUUGGUGAGGUAAUGGCUCACCAAGGCAUCGAUCCGUA